UAUAAACUCUUUGACUUCCAGGAAUGAUAUGAACAGGUAAGUCCAGAUGCUUCUGAAAGGCUCCCAGCUCCUGAUUCCCAUAUGUGGAAGAUUCACAUCAAGCCUAACUCUUCAGAGAUCCCACUCAAUCCCUACUAAGGACUCUGAGCUAUCCCAAGGAUGAUGUACAUCUUCCUUUUUUUAUACAAAGAUAGAAGGCCAGCUUCCUUCUCCACAUCACUGAAAUCUUUAUCCUCUUUGUUCUCCCUCCCAUAUGGCUGUUUACCGUGAAUUAGAGGUCAAUUAUUAAACCCUAGAGGUACUGCAAGAAUAUCAGAGAGGCAGUUGCAGCCACAACAACACUUGUGAUGUCACAGAAGCAGCUAGGGAGUCCAGGUUACAAGAGAUACUUGCAGUAGGGCCAAAUCAUGAUGUCACUGUGAACUGCCAUGUCCUACCUGCUAAACAGAUUUCCCUACAUUGACCAGAUUUUGAGUGCCCUUUCCAGGAACUGUAAGAGCAGGAAGUCCAGAUGCUUCUGAGAGGACCCCAGCUUCUAAUUCCCAUUUGUAGACGGCUCAGAUCAAGACAAUCUCUUCAUGAAACAACUCAACACCUACUAAGGACUCAGAGAGCUUUCCCAAGGACCUUUUUUGUACCAAGACAGAAGGACCAAAACCAUCAGCUUUAAAGAAAACUGUGCCCUUCCCAACACUUGGCUUUGGAAAAAAGACAUGAAUGAUAUAAAUUCUCCGACUUCCAGGAACAAUAACUAGCAGGGAAGUCCAGAUGCAUCUGAGAGGCUCCCAUCUCCUGAUUACCAUAUUUGGAAGGCUCCAAUCAAUACUAUCUUUUCAGCAAACCUUCUCAACCACUACCCAGAAAUGACUGAGAUUUCCCAUGGACCACAUAUUUCUUUUUUUUUAUAACAAAGCAGAAGGCCAGCUUCCUUCUUCCCAUCUUUGAUCACUUCAUCCUCUUUUUUCUCCUUCCCAAAGGCUGUUUAUGCUGAAUUAGAGGCCAAAUAGUAAACCCUAGAGGUACUGAAGGACUACUGGAGAGGCAACUUCUGUCAGGACAACACUUGUUUCAUCACAGAAGAAACUAGGGAUCUCCAGGAUACAACAGAUUUUUUUAGAUAGGCCUAAUGGUGAUGUCACUGAGAAUUGCCAUGGCCUACCUGCUAAAGUGUUUUCCUUUCAAUGACCAGAUUCGAGGGUGCCCUUGCAAGGUUUGUCUCCUGUGAAACAAUGGAAACCUUUUCAUACUACAUGUCUUUAAAGCUAGAAACUUCUCUUUAUUUCCUUAGUGGUUACAUGCUCUGAAAGGAAAAGAUAAUCAGGAGCUUUGCAUGGGUAGAAAAGAUCUCGGAACAUGGAGUGGAAGAGAUUCCUCUGGAUAAUAAUUUUAUUACCAGGUCCAUUACUGUGACAUACAGUUCAAUAUCCUAGGUUAUCUCUGUUUCCCAAAGGCCAGCAUUUUCCCUACAAUCCUUUAAUUGAAUUCAUAUUUCAUUACAGUUUCUCAUUGUACAUUCCUUGAUAGGUGACUUUAUAUAUUCCUGAAUGUGAAGUGAAAAAUUCUGUUUUCCAAUUUCAUGUUUUUUUGCAAUGAUUUUGGCAACCCAAGGGUCCCACCUAAGGUUGAAUAUAAAAAUGUAAAUAUUAUGUACCUAUUUCCAAUGAUGAACUUCCAAAUCCUUAGUUUAUCCAAAAAUUUCGAGACAUCAGAAAAGCUAAGGAAAACAUGAAAUAUAGAAUAUGUUUCAGUAGUCUCAUUAGACAUCAGUUCUUUAAUAUCUAACUUCCUGUUCCUCUAGGGCCAGACGUGAAGGUUUUCGAGGUUUUACCAUGGUUGUUACUUCAGGACAAACAUAAAAUUCAGGAGGAUGUGCAGGGAGAUGAAUGGCUUGAUGUCCAGGGAAACUUCAACUUCAAUAGGUUCAUAAGAACAAGAGGGAGGUGUUUGGAAUUGCCAUUUGUGGAUUCUACAUUCUUGACCUAGGUGUACAUAAUCCAUGUGAAAAUUCCACCUAACCUCAUAGCUGUAGGAGCCACCAAAUGUAUAGUUGGAACCAGAUGUACAUCUUUCCUGAGAGACACAGCUUGAGCAAGUCAAAUACAGAAGAGAAUGCUACUGGCAAACCAGUGAACCAAAAAUGGAUCUCUUGUUGGUAGUUUUUGAGAAAGAAUUACAAGAGCUUAAGGGGAUUUCAAUUCCAUAAGAACAACAAUGCCAGUGAACCAGAGCUUUCUGGUACUAAACCAAUAUUCAAAGACUGUACUUGGA